AAAAAAAAAAAAAAAAGUUAAUUCCGUACCGAUCCUGUCAAAUAUAGUAAAUUACAAAUAUAUUUAUGCAAAGUUCAAUUUUCAUAUAUUGUUUCUACAAAAGUCCUAAUAUUUUCAAAUAUGUUCUUCUGGUUUGCAACUGUUAAAGUACUGUUAUUUUACAACUGAAAUGGUCUUUUUGUCAUCACAAAUAUGUCCAUCGAAAAGUUUCAACUGUUAAUUAAAGAGAGAUAAAAAUGUCAAUUCAGCUCAUUAACUAAUUAGGGUUAAGUAUUUUACCUAUGAUUGGUUAACUAAUUUUUAAUAACGGAUUUUAACAGUAGAGAUAUAUUUGAAAACGUAAGGACUUUUGCAAAGAUAAUAUAUAAAAGUUGAAAUUCAUAAAAGUAUAUUUAUAAUUUACUAGAUUAGUAUGAAUCUAAAUGAAAUUAAUCCUAAAAAAAAUAUAAAUCAAUAUAAGCAUACAGAUGUAAACCUUAUAUCCAACUUGUACGGCUAGUGUUGCUCAGAGUACAAAGUAAAUUACUCUUUCAGUCCUAAAACUAUAAGGAGAAUGACAUUUUAGUCUUUAAAUUUUAAAUUUGACUAAAUUACAGAAAUUUUCGUGUAAAUAUUUAUUUUUUUUCUCUUUUCUAACUUUUUAAAAAAUUUGUAUUUUAUUUUUUCAAAAUUUUAAGUUGUUGCAUUUAGUCCCACUCCGUCAGAAUUUAAUUCACUAUUUCGUUCAUGUCUUAUAAUUUAUACCAAAAAUAUUCUUCAAAAUGAUUAAAAAAAAUAUAUUAAAAAAUUAUUUUUUUCUCUUAUAGAAGAAAUAAGAAAAAUGAAAUCACAUGGUACUAGCUUGAUACACUUUAAACUAUAGGAUAUUAAAGUGAGAAACUGUAAAACCACAAAGGGUAUUUGAAGUUUAUCCUAAAAUCUAUAACGGGGGAGGGAGAGAAAAAAAAAAAGGGGCUAAAUUGCAGAAAAUCCUACUAUCAAAACUCGAUUUUUCACUUUCUUCUCCUAUCAUUUAAAAACCUACACUUUACCUCCUUGUAAAAUGAAAAAUGUCCACUGGGAUACAGUGUGAACUGUAGUGACAAAAUAAUCAUUUUGCCCCUCAUCAUUUUGCCCCUCACCAUAUUCACAGGAGAGAAGGCUGAGGAUAUUUUUGGUAUAAAAAAUAUAUAGUAAUAUUUUAUAAACGGAAUCCUAACGAAUUACUAACGGCAUGGGCAAAUUGAAUAUUUUUUAUUUUGUAAGGAGAUAAAGUGUAGAUUUUUAAAUGACAGGAAGGAAGAGUGAAAAAUCGAAUUUUGAUGUGGGGUUUUAUGUAAUUUAGCAAAAAAAAAAAACAAAA
rnacentral:lncRNA from 1 species